rnacentral:lncRNA from 1 species
UUGUUGCGGCCUUUGUUGAUGACAUUCAGCAUUGACUUCUUGGGUAAGGUAUUCAGUAGUUAAGAUUCAAUGACUCCAGUGAAAGGUAUGUUUCCAUCGUGAUGUUCUUCUUCUGGACAAUAAGUGAAAAGAGCAUGUGAGUACCUCUCUCACUCCCAGCAAAUAAUUGUUGUGUCACCUCCACAUGUUUCUUCACGAUUCGAGGCUUUGAUUUCCCCUGCAAGACAAAAUGCAAUGAAGUGAUACAGAAAAAAAGAAAUUCUAUGCUGUCAUCACACUAGACCAUGAUGUUGAUUUAUGGAUGGUCUGCUUUCUUAUAUGCACUUAAUAUUUUUGUACAAGCAAACCUGAAAAGUGUCAAAAUCCCCUUUAACAGAUUAACAGGCUGAGAUGGGUUAAAGUGAGCAAGCCGGGAAGUGGUGGAGCUGGGAUCCACACCCUGGUCUGUCUGAGUCCAGAUGUAAUCAUCUUGCAUUCACUAUGGCAUGUUUCCCUUAUGUUAAGGGUUGCUGACAUAGACAGUGCAUGUCAUUCCUUUUGGUAUGGUCUUCCUCCUUUCUAGCUUUUUUCUGCCUGGAAGAUCCAGGCACCCAAGAGAAUGGAGCUUCCAUGUAAAUUUGCAGAAUCCCUAGGAUGAAAGCGGAGAGGAUCUACCCUGAAACCAACAAGUCUAGGAUGCACAUCUCUGCCUUUUUUUCAGAAUUAGGAAGGGGCAGGCAGAUGGGCAAUUGACAGGAAUAGUAGAAGCAUCCUCGGGGAAGUUGGCUACUUUACUUAGUGAGAAAGCAAUGGAAAGUGACAUUUGUAACUGAGUUUUAAGUGAAGUACAGUCCUAAGAGAGGAGCUCUGAAAAACAGCUGUUACCUGAGAUUGGGAAUGUUAAAGACCUUCUCAGAGCCUGACUGUACUCACAGCUGGACCUAGCUAUCAGAAGAGGGACUGCAACAUACCUGAGAAACUUUCAGAAUACUUAACGGAAGCAGAGUCAGGGGAAGUGAUUUUGAUAGUAGUCCAUGAGAAAAAAAUACGGUGUUUUAAAAUGCAAAUGAACUAAAAUUUAAAUCCUGCUCUCUCAGUAGCUAUGCAGCCUUAGGCGAGUUAAUAUCUUUGACCUUAGUAUUUCUCAGGUGUAAAGAGGGAUAAUUACCUACUCAGAACUUCACCUCUCCCAAGAAAGCUUUCCUGACCAUGUGCUGGCCCUUCCUUUACAUUGGGAUUAAAGUACCCCCCCCCGUUUUUCCAGGCUUUCUUGACUUUAAUUCUGUCAUAGCUCUAAUUAAGAACCUCUGUAAUGAUCUGUCUGCAAGCUUGUGAGAAAUUUGAGGACUGGGAACCAGCCUGAAACAUGUCUGUUCCCCUCUGAGUCAACACAGUGCCUGGGAUCUGGUGUCCAGUAGGGAUUUAAAGCAUAUUGAUUGAAUGAGAAAUGAUGACAGGAUCUACAUGGAUCACAAAGGAUAGUUGUUAUUUUACCUGUUAACUAUUUAAUAGCGAAAUUAAAUGAAAUAUGAAUUAACCUAGGACCAGGGAAGGUGGGGUAAGUUGUGUCUUUCACAUCAACCUUCAUAUGUUCCCCAAUUUUUUCUUCCUUCAUGUACCUAGGACACUCUUGUUCAAACACAAAGGUGGUUUUAUUUUGGGUCUAUACUAGCUAGUUCCCUAGAAAGGUCUUAAAUACAAAAUGAAUGGAAUACAAAAUAACCUCCCUCAUUGUUUUUUUUCCCGGACAAAUGACAGGAUGCAUACAGAACUGCUACUUUUGUGAUGUUGCAAGUAAUGGUAUAGAUGUGCACAAAUCAUGGAUGUGGUCCCAGUGAUCCAUGGAAAUGUGAAGUCCAGAUGGAGUCUCGCUCUGUCACCAGGCUGGAGUGUACUGGCACGAUCUUGGCUCACUGCAACCUCUGCCUCCUGGGUUCAAGCAAUUCUCAUGCCUCACCCUCCCAAGUGGCUGGGAUUACAGGCAUAUGCCACCACACCCAGCUAAUUUUUGCAUUUUUAGUAGAGAUG